CACACCAUGGGAGCCGGGAAUGCCCGAAGUCGGUGACCCAACCGUAAGGAGGGAGCCGCCGAAGGCAGGCCUGGUAACUGGGGUGAAGUCGUAACAAGGUAUC
rnacentral:rRNA from 1 species